rnacentral:rRNA from 1 species
AUUGAACGCUGGCGGCAGGCUUAACACAUGCAAGUCGAGCGGAGAGAAGUAGCUUGCUACUGAUCUUAGCGGCGGACGGGUGAGUAAUACUUAGGAAUCUGGCUAUUAGUGGGGGACAACAUGUCGAAAGGGAUGCUAAUACCGCAUACGUCCUACGGGAGAAAGCAGGGGAUCUUCGGACCUCGCGCUAAUAGAUGAGCCUAAGUCGGAUUAGCUAGUUGGUGGGGUAAAGGCCUACCAAGGCGACGAUCUGUAGCGGGUCUGAGAGGAUGAUCCGCCACACUGGGACUGAGACACGGCCCAGACUCCUACGGGAGGCAGCAGUGGGGAAUAUUGGACAAUGGGGGGAACCCUGAUCCAGCCAUGCCGCGUGUGUGAAGAAGGCCUUAUGGUUGUAAAGCACUUUAAGCGAGGAGGAGGGUACUGGUAUUAAUACUACCAGCUACUGGACGUUACUCGCAGAAUAAGCACCGGCUAACUCUGUGCCAGCCGCCGCUGUAAAAC